rnacentral:rRNA from 1 species
UACGUAGGGGGCAAGCGUUGUCCGGAUUUAUUGGGCGUAAAGAGCGUGUAGGCGGCCAUACAGGUCCGUUGUGAAAACUGGAGGCUUAACCUCCAGACGUCGAUGGAAACCGUAUGGCUAGAGUCCGGAAGAGGAGAGUGGAAUUCCUGGUGUAGCGGUGAAAUGUGUAGAGAUCGGGAGGAACACCGGUGGCGAAGGCGGCCUUCUGGACGGUGACUGACGCUGAGGCGCGAAAGCGUGGGGAGCAAACGGG